CUUGGUCAUUUAGAGGAAGUAAAAGUCGUAACAAGGUUUCCGUAGGUGAACCUGCGGAAGGAUCAUUACAAGUGAGGCUACCGAACGUUGGAAACAGCGGUUAGGAGCUUACACCCACCCGUGUUUACAUACUAUUGUUGCUUUGGCGGGCCGUGGCCUCCACUGCGGGCUCUGCUCGUGUGUGCCCGCCAGAGAACCAAACUCUGAAUGUUAGUGAUGUCUGAGUACUAUCUAAUAGUUAAAACUUUCAACAACGGGUCUCUUGGUUCUGGCAUCGAUGAAGAACGCAGCGAAAUGCGAUAAGUAAUGUGAAUUGCAGAAUUCAGUGAAUCAUCGAAUCUUUGAACGCACAUUGCGCCCUGUGGUAUUCCGCAGGGCAUGCCUGUUCGAGCGUCAUUUAACCACUCACGCCUAGUUGGUAUUGGGGCACGCGGUCUCCGCGGCCCUCAAAAUUAGUGGCGGCGCCGGUGGGCUCUAAGCGUAGUACAUACUCCCGCUAUAGAGUUCCCCCCGGUGGCUCGCCAGAACCCCCAAUUUUUUACAGGUUGACCUCGGAUCAGGUAGGGAUACCCGCUGAACUUAAGCAUAUCAAUAAGCGGAGGA
rnacentral:rRNA from 1 species